rnacentral:rRNA from 1 species
UACGUAGGGUGCGAGCGUUUGUCCGGAAUUAUUGGGCGUAAAGAGCUCGUAGGCGGCCCGAUAAGUCUGCUGUGAAAGUCCAGGGCUCAACCCUGGAAUGCCGGUGGAUGCUGUCGGGCUAGAGUUCGGAAGAGGCAAGUGGAAUUCCUGGUGUAGCGGUGGAAUGCGCAGAUAUCAGGAGGAACACCGGUGGCGAAGGCGGUUCUCUGGGCAUUACCUGACGCUGAGGAGCGAAAGUGUGGGGGAGCGAACAGG